rnacentral:rRNA from 1 species
GGCAUGCAAGUCGAACGAGGUGGCAUGCAAGUCGAACGAGGACGUUUCCUUCGGGGAACUAGUACAGUGGCGGAAGGGUGAGUAAUGCAUAGGCAACCUGCCCGCGAGUCCGGAAUAACUCGCCGAAAGGUGGGCUAAUGCCGGUUGGUAUCCCGAGGUCGCAUGGCCUUGGGCUUAAAGCGGGGGAUCUUCGGACCUCGCGCUCGCGGAGGGGCCUGUGUCCUAUUAGCUUGUUGGUGAGGUAACGGCCCACCAAGGCUUCGAUGGGUAGCCGGCCUUGGCGGGUGAUCGGCCACACUGGGACUGAGACACUGCCCAGACUCCUACGGGAGGCUGCAGUCGAGAAUCUUCUGCAAUGGACGAAAGUCUGACAGAGCGACGCCGCGUGGGGGAAGAAGGCUUUCGAGUUGUAAACCCCUGUCACGGGUUAAGACGGGUGGUCUGCUGAAUAAGCGGUCCUUCCUGACAAAGGCCCGAGAGGAAGCCACGGCUAACUCCGUGCCAGCAGCCGCGGUAAUUCGGAGGUGGCGAGCGUUGUUCGGAUCUAUUGGGCGUAAAGCGCGCGUAGGCGGCGAGGUAAGUCGGUAGUGAAAUCCCUCGGCUCAACCGAGGAAUUGCUUCCGAUACUGCUUUGCUCGAGUGUGGGAGGGGAGAGUGGAACUCUUGGUGGAGCGGUGAAAUGCGUAGAUAUCAAGAGGAACGCCAGAGGCGAAAGCGACUCUCUGGCCCAUGUCUGACGCUGAGGCGCGAAAGCUAGGGUAGCGAAAGGGAUUAGAUACCCCUGUAGUCCUAGCCGUAAACGAUGGGCACUAAGUAGAGGGGUUUU